rnacentral:rRNA from 1 species
AGCAUAUCAAUAAGCGGAGGAAAAGAAACCAACAGGGAUUGCCCUAGUAACGGCGAGUGAAGCGGCAACAGCUCAAAUUUGAAAUCUGGCUCUUUUAGAGUCCGAGUUGUAAUUUGCAGAGGGCGCUUUGGCGUUGGCAGCGGUCCAAGUUCUUUGGAACAGGACGUCACAGAGGGUGAGAAUCCCGUACGUGGUCGCUAGCCUUCGCCGUGUAAAGCCCCUUCGACGAGUCGAGUUGUUUGGGAAUGCAGCUCUAAAUGGGAGGUAAAUUUCUUCUAAAGCUAAAUACUGGCCAGAGACCGAUAGCGCACAAGUAGAGUGAUCGAAAGAUGAAAAGCACUUUGGAAAGAGAGUCAAAUAGCACGUGAAAUUGUUGAAAGGGAAGCGCUUGCAGCCAGACUUGCCUGUAGUUGCUUAUCCGGACUUUUGUCCGGUGCACUCUUCUGCGGGCAGGCCAGCAUCAGUUUAGGCGGUUGGAUAAAGGUCUCUAUCACGUACCUCCCUUCGGGGUUGGCCUUAUAGGGGAGACGACAUGCAACCAGCCUGAACUGAGGUCCGCGCAUCUGCUAGGAUGCUGGCGUAAUGGCUGUAAGCGGCCCGUCUUGAAACACGGACCAAGGAGUCUAACAUCUAUGCGAGUGUUUGGGUGUCAAGCCCAGACGCGUAAUGAAAGUGAACGGAGGUGGGAACCUUUUAGGUGCACCAUCGACCGAUCCUGAUGUCUUCGGAUGGAUUUGAGUAAGAGCAUGGCUGUUGGGACCCGAAAGAUGGUGAACUAUGCUUGAAUAGGGUGAAGCCAGAGGAAACUCUGGUGGAGGCUCGCAGCGGUUCUGACGUGCAAAUCGAUCGUCAAAUUUGGGCAUAGGGGCGAAAG